rnacentral:rRNA from 1 species
UACGGGGGGGGCAAGCGUUGUUCGGAAUUACUGGGCGUAAAGGGCUCGUAGGUGGCCAACUAAGUCAUACGUGAAAUCCCUCGGCUUAACCGGGGAACUGCGUCUGAUACUGGAUGGCUUGAGAUUGGGAGAGGGAUGCGGAAUUCCAGGUGUAGCGGUGAAAUGCGUAGAUAUCUGGAGGAACACCGGUGGCGAAGGCGGCAUCCUGGACCAACACUGACGCUGAGUGAGCGAAAGCCAGGGGAGCAAACGGG